GAUGAACGCUGGCGGCGUGCUUAAUACAUGCAAGUCGAACGGAGGUAAGUAGCAAUAUUUACUUUAGUGGCGAACGGGUGAGUAACGCGUUGGUGACCUGCCCCAGAGAGUGGGAUAACAGUUCGAAAGGACUGCUAAUACCGCAUGACGUUGUGGUAGUUAGAGAGCUACAACGAAAGGCGAAAGCCGCUCUGGGAGGGGCCUGCGUCCCAUCAGCUAGUUGGUAGGGUAAAGGCCACCAAGGCGACGACGGGUAGGGGACCUGAGAGGGUGACCCCCCACACUGGCACUGAAACACGGGCCAGACACCUACGGGUUGCAGCAGUAGGGAAUAUUGCACAAUGGGCGAAAGCCUGAUGCAGCAACGCCGCGUGCGCGAUGAAGGCCUUCGGGUCGUAAAGCGCUUUUCGAGGAGAUGAGGAAGGACAGUAUCCUCGGAAUAAGGAUCGGCUAACUACGUGCCAGCAGCCGCAGUAA
rnacentral:rRNA from 1 species